rnacentral:misc_RNA from 1 species
GAUACAAACUGCAGCUGAUGGGUCUCAUAUCAGUUGCCCAUCAGCUAUUAGCUCUAUUUUUUUGAGCUUGCCAAACACUAUAAUUUACCUAUUUAAGUGUCUAUCAACUAUCAGCUACACCCAACAGCCAACAGAUAAAUCAAACACCCCCUUAAAAGCACCAACGAUGCCUGUGUAUUUCCACAUGACAUGGACCCUAAAGGCAUUGUAUGACAGAGUCCAGUUCUGUAGGGUCCCACCACGAUUUCUUUUGCCAAACAGCUAGAAAAAAAAAAAUCCGGCUUCUAGAGUCAGACAAACAGC